CAACCCUCAAGCUUAGCUUGGUCUUGAGUCCCGCCAGUAACUCGGCAGGCUUUAAAAUUAGUGGCGGCGCCAUUAGGCUCUUAGUGUAGUAAUACUUCUCGCUAUUGAGUCCUUGUGGUAUGCUGGCCAGCAACCCUAACUUUCUAA
rnacentral:misc_RNA from 1 species